rfam:Triticum aestivum genome assembly, contig: Triticum_aestivum_CS42_TGACv1_scaffold_220839_3B
AAAGUACUCCCUCCGCCCCAAAAUUCUUGUCUUAGAUUUGUCUAGAUACAGAUGUAUCAUCAAGUCACAUUUUAGUAUUAGAUACAUCCGUAUCUAGACAAAUCUAAGACAAGAAAUUUGGGACAGAGGGAGUAGUUG